CGGAUUGUAGGCUGCAACUCGCCUACAUGAAGCUGGAAUUGCUAGUAAUCAUAGGUCAGCAUACUAUGGUGAAUACGUUCCCGGGCCUUGUACACACCGCCCGUCACACCAUGGGAGCCGGUAAUACCCGAAGUCAGUAGUCCAACCUCGUGAGGACGCUGCCGAAGGUAGGAUUGGCGACUGGGGUGAAGUCGUAACAAGGUAAC
rnacentral:rRNA from 1 species